GGUUCAUGCAGGAAAGAACGAGCUUGUAACAAGCUUCGUCAAAAAAUGAAAACAACUUCAGCCUGAGAUUAUCAAACAAGUUUUUGUAUUACAAAUAACGCUAAUUAGUUAAAGAACAUCGCUCAUUUUUGUAAUUGUCGAAAUCCAUUAUCCCCAUGGGCGCCAUCGGCCCAUGGUUUCCCUGGGUUCUGCUUUUGCUUUACUAGCUGCUUCUCUUUAGCACGGGCUCGGUCUCUUGGUCUAUAUGUUUUGGGGUCGAACACGUUGCUGGUUGCACCAGCUCAAGAUUCGCCAUACGACUAGUUGACCUAGUAGAGACUUUUGGAAUUCUAGAAAAUUUCUUUGCCUAGUCAUUAGAUUAGAUGUAGACCUUAUUUUCAGAACAAAUUGCUCAACACUUCCUGUCACUAAAAUCCUCAGCUUCAUGACCUUCAUCUUCAUUCUUCCAUCAUACUCUCACAUCUUUAACAAAAAUUUCCAACUUGUUUGCCCAUAAGAUGAUGCAUUGGAAUAUGACAAUUUAGGUUCAUUCUUAGCUAUAAGAUAUUGGCACCUUCAAACUACACAGCUGAUUGAGUAUCAUGAAAUUGUAUGUGCUACCAUUUCCUGCAUAUAUCUCUCAUUUCACUUAUACAAGAAAUGAGGUGUAGGACACCGGACACCAACAUAUUUGGGUAAAGUUGUGCUUCUAUGUUAUUGCUUAAACAUGUAAUUGAAUUUGUAUCCAUAACUAUUUUCCGUAGAAAAGCUACGACUACUUCAACAGCUUUAAAUGUAUGUCCGACAUUAAGGCCACGACGUUCAGGCUUGAAAGCGUCACUCAGGCGUUUUUUAAGGGCCUGAAGGACUUAACAAAUUUGUCACUUGGUGGCCAUUUAGGCACAGCCUGGGGUUGUACAAGUUGUGGUGGUGGUUUUGCAGGUUGGACAAGGUGGUGCUGGUGGAGCGACGGGUGUGCAGGUUGGACUUGUGCAAGGUGCUGGGGCUCGUGGAACGACAGGUCUGCAGGUUGGACCUGUGCAAGGUACAGGUCUUCUUGGAGCGACGGGUGUGCAGGUUGGACCUGUGCAAGGUACAGGUCUUCUGGCGGCGCCUUGAUUUCUACAGGAUGCAUCGAUACAGCCAGUUGCUGGAUCUUCAGAUUCAAAUUCAAUUUCUUCUACAGAUACACUGACUCUCUCUUCCACUUGUUCGGCUUCCCGGGAAGUCUCAAUCUCUAGGUCUCGUUCCUCAUUUCCUGGACAUCCUCCGUUUUGACAUACUACGGGUUGGCAUCCUCCGGUCGGACAUCCUGUGGGUUGGCAUCCUCCAGUUGAACAUCCUACGCUUUCGUUGCUGUCGUAACUUGAUGGCAUCGGCAUGGCGUUGACGACCACUAGACUUAUGCAGCACGACACGAGCAAUAGCUGCGACAGGUUAAUUCCUCCCUUGAUUGGAGCAUCGAGUGAUAUUGAGGGGAAUUUUUCUUAUCAAGGCGCUUCAAGGUUGAAAUUUGAAAAUUGGUUUGAGAAUUAAACAGCGAUCAGAUUUUGUGGUAAUCCAGCAAAAACUUUGGCCGACUCCCUGGGUAAAGAUUUUGCGUACCCACUGUAGUUGCUUUUGACUUCCUGCUUGGCUCUGCCUCAAUGAGGAUUGGGGAUGAGCCGAUGAGGUAAGACCGUUUUCAAUCUGCUUCUACUUCUUGAUAAUUUAUUUUCUCACUCUAUCACAUAUUUUCUUAUGUUUUUUUUUUUUUUUAAAUUUGUGAUUGCUAAGUAUAAAGUUUUAUAAUGAAUUAUUUUCGAUCGUAAUUUGAAAUUAAACCUGCUGAUGAAACCUCCGCUAGUCGCCAGUCGCCACCGGAGGGCCACUCUUCGCCAAUAAUCGUUCCAUAUCCGCUUUUCCACAAAUUACGUUUGUAUUUCAAGACGCUCAAAUGUGGGAGGCAGUUAGUUAUCUCUGGGAGAGGUCGUAAGUCAAACGUCAGAAGAAAUUUCUGAUUUUCUUUCACGAAUUUUUUUGUUUAAGCAUGUUGUUCUGCAUUUCUAGCAUGCUUCUAGCUUGGGACACAGCUUGGGAUCCAAAUUAAUACAUUUCCAUGAAAGUCUUCACAACAG
rnacentral:lncRNA from 1 species